AUACUUACCUGGCAGGGGAGAUACCAUGAUCAAGAAGGCGUUUCACCCAGGGCGAGGCGCAGCCAUUGCACCGGAAGCCGGUGUUGCUGACCCCUGCAAUUCCCCAAACGUGGGAGUCUUGACUGCAUACUUGCUAGUGGGUGCUAAGGCCCCGCU